UACGUAGGGUGCGAGCGUUUGCCCGGAUUUAUUGGGCGUAAAGAGCUCGUAGGCGGCUUGUCGCGUCGUUCGUGAAAACCUGCAGCUCAACUGCAGGCUUGCGGUCGGAUACGGGCAGGCUAGAGUUCGGUAGGGGAGACUGGAAUUCCUGGUGUAGCGGUGAAAUGCGCAGAUAUCAGGAGGAACACCGGUGGCGAAGGCGGGUCUCUGGGCCGAUACUGACGCUGGAGG
rnacentral:rRNA from 1 species